CAAAGCCUGUCUACGGAAAGCCUUCAACUCCCAAUUUAAGCCCUGUUGUACCAAAUGUGGUUGCAGUUCCACCAGAGUUCCACUGGGGGUGAUCACGGCCUAGUGCAAAAUUAAUGGGACUCUAUGGAGCUAGACGGCUAAAUAAUGGAACUCUGUGGAGCAAGAUGGCAAAA